GGCGAGGUGGCCGAGAGGCUAAAGGCGCUCCCCUGCUAAGGGAGUAUACGGUAAAAGCUGUGUCGAGGGUUCGAAUCCCUCCCUCGCCG
rnacentral:tRNA from 1 species